rnacentral:misc_RNA from 1 species
GCAUAAUCUAGUUGCCCCUCAUCAACCUCUUCAGCAUUUUCCUCCUCAGAAUUCUCACUGACACUAAAUUUAUCAGCAAUGAAUCGUUCCUCAUCUCAGUGUCCUUGUCAUUAUUGUCAGAGAGUUCACUGGAGCCACCCUUGUUCUUCACUUGAUUUUCCCCAUUGCCGAUCAUCUUUUUCCAACAACUCGUUUUUUAAUGCGUUCAUCAUGCACUUCACUAGAGGUUUGAGCAAUGUUAUCAUUCUCAGAAUCCUGAUUAUUCUCAUUAUUUGCACCAUUAAUGUUAUCUUCAAAACUUUGCUAGAUUGGAUCUUUAGUAAUUUGAAAUUCCUGCUCCAGAUCUUGUGAUGCUUUCCCCCUCAUGCAAGACACAAUUUCCAAUGCAUUUUCAUUAGUAAAGGCUACAACAUUUUGCGUUUUCUUUUCCUUUUCUAUAAAACCCGCUGGAAUUUGGUAUUUCAGCUCCAAAUCUUGAGAUUGACUUUUGGGUUGUGCUUCUUGAGAGAAUUUCUUCAGCCUUUCAAUUUGAUCUUCUAACAACUUUUCAAUUUUUUCCAUUUUUGAUACAGC